AACGCGAAGAACCUUACCUGGGCUCGAACGGCUUAAGAUCGACCGUGGAAACAUGGUUUUCCCGCAAGGGACUUGAGUCGAGGUGCUGCAUGGCUGUCGUCAGCUCGUGUCGUGAGAUGUUGGGUUAAGUCCCGCAACGAGCGCAACCCUUGUCCUGUGUUGCCAUCAUUUAGUUGGGCACUCUCAGGAGACCGCCAGCGAUAAGUUGGAGGAAGGUGGGGAUGAUGUCAAGUCAUCAUGGCCUUUAUGUCCAGGGCUACACACGUGCUACAAUGGACGGUACAAACCGCUGCAAACCCGCGAGGGAGAGCUAAUCGGAGAAAACCGUUCUCAGUUCGGAUCGCAGGCUGCAACUCGCCUGCGUGAAGCUGGAAUCGCUAGUAAUGGCGUAUCAGAACGACGCCGUGAAUACGUUCCCGGGCCUUGUACACACCGCUCGUC
rnacentral:rRNA from 1 species